rnacentral:rRNA from 1 species
UACGUAGGAUGCAAGCGUUGUCCGGAAUUAUUGGGCGUAAAGAGCGCGCAGGCGGUUUUACAAGUCAGAUGUGAAAGAGGCCGGCUUAACCGGCAAGGGUCAUUUGAAACUGUGAGACUAGAGGUACAGCAGAGGAUAGCGGAAUUCCCGGUGUAGUGGUGAAAUGCGUAGAUAUCGGGAGGAACACCAGUGGCGAAGGCGGCUAUCUGGGCUGAAACUGACGCUGAGGCGCGGAAGGCUAGGGUAGCAAACAGG